GUACCCCGAGGAAAAGAAAUCAACCGAGAUUCCGAAAGUAGCGGCGAGCGAAAUUGGACUAGCCCUUAAGCUUUACACGUGUUAGACGAACGGUCUGGAAAGUCCGACGAUACAGGGUGAUAGUCCCGUAGUUGACGACGUGUGUUCAGUGAAAUCGAGUAGGGCGGGACACGUGAUAUCCUGUCUGAAUAUGGGGGGACCAUCCUCCAAGGCUAAAUACUACUGACUGACCGAUAGUGAACCAGUACCGUGAGGGAAAGGCGAAAAGAACCCCUGUGAGGGGAGUGAAAUAGAACCUGAAACCGUGUACGUACAAGCAGUAGGAGCAGGCUUUGUCCUGUGACUGCGUACCUUUUGUAUAAUGGGUCAGCGACUUAUAUUCAGUGGCAAGGUUAACCAUCUAGGGGAGCCGUAGGGAAACCGAGUCUUAACUGGGCGUUCAGUCUCUGGAUAUAGACCCGAAACCAGGUGAUCUAGCCAUGGGCAGGUUGAAGGUUGAGUAACAUCAACUGGAGGACCGAACCGACUAAUGUUGAAAAAUUAGCGGAUGACUUGUGGCUAGGGGUGAAAGGCCAAUCAAACCUGGAGAUAGCUGGUUCUCCCCGAAAGCUAUUUAGGUAGCGCCUCGGACGAAUACUACUGGGGGUAGAGCACUGUUAAGGCUAGGGGGUCAUCCCGACUUACCAACCCUUUGCAAACUCCGAAUACCAGUAAGUACUAUCCGGGAGACACACGGCGGGUGCUAACGUCCGUCGUGGAGAGGGAAACAACCCAGACCGCCAGCUAAGGUCCCAAAUUACUACUAAGUGGGAAACGAUGUGGGAAGGCUCAGACAGCCAGGAUGUUGGCUUAGAAGCAGCCAUCAUUUAAAGAAAGCGUAAUAGCUCACUGGUCGAGUCGGCCUGCGCGGAAGAUGUAACGGGGCUAAGUAGUAAACCGAAGCUGCGGCAAUGUGCUUUUGCACAUUGGGUAGGGGAGCGUUCUGUAAGCGGUUGAAGGUGUGUGGUAACGCAUGCUGGACGUAUCAGAAGUGCGAAUGCUGACAUGAGUAACGAUAAAGGGGGUGAAAAACCUCCUCGCCGGAAGACCAAGGGUUCCUGUCCAACGUUAAUCGGGGCAGGGUAAGUCGACCCCUAAGGCGAGGCCGAAAGGCGUAGUCGAUGGAAACGGGUUAAUAUUCCCGUACUUCUUACAAUUGCGAUGGGGGGACGGAGAAGGCUAGGUGGGCCUGGCGACGGUUGUCCAGGUUCAAGUGCGUAGGCUUGAGAGUUAGGUAAAUCCGGCUCUUUUUAAGGCUGAGACACGACGUCGAGCACCUACGGGUGUGAAGUCAUUGAUGCCAUGCUUCCAGGAAAAGCCUCUAAGCUUCAGAUUGUAAGGAAUCGUACCCCAAACCGACACAGGUGGUCGGGUAGAGAAUACCAAGGCGCUUGAGAGAACUCGGGUGAAGGAACUAGGCAAAAUGGUACCGUAACUUCGGGAGAAGGUACGCUCUCGACGGUGAAGUCCCUCGCGGAUGGAGCUAUUGAGAGUCGCAGAUACCAGGUGGCUGCAACUGUUUAUUAAAAACACAGCACUGUGCAAAAUCGUAAGAUGACGUAUACGGUGUGACGCCUGCCCGGUGCCGGAAGGUUAAUUGAUGGGGUUAGACUUCGGUCGAAGCUCUUGAUCGAAGCCCCGGUAAACGGCGGCCGUAACUAUAACGGUCCUAAGGUAGCGAAAUUCCUUGUCGGGUAAGUUCCGACCUGCACGAAUGGCGUAAUGAUGGCCACGCUGUCUCCACCCGAGACUCAGUGAAAUUGAAAUCGCUGUGAAGAUGCAGUGUACCCGCGGCUAGACGGAAAGACCCCGUGAACCUUUACUACAGCUUGGCACUGAACAUUGACCCUACAUGUGUAGGAUAGGUGGGAGGCUUUGAAGCACGUACGCCAGUAUGUGUGGAGCCGUCCUUGAAAUACCACCCUUGUAGUGUUGAUGUUCUAACGUCGACCCCUUAUCGGGGUUGUGGACAGUGCCUGGUGGGUAGUUUGACUGGGGCGGUCUCCUCCCAAAGAGUAACGGAGGAGCACGAAGGUGGGCUAAUCACGGUUGGACAUCGUGAGGUUAGUGCAAUGGCAUAAGCCCGCUUGACUGCGAGAAUGACAAUUCGAGCAGGUGCGAAAGCAGGUCAUAGUGAUCCGGUGGUUCUGAAUGGAAGGGCCAUCGCUCAACGGAUAAAAGGUACUCCGGGGAUAACAGGCUGAUACCGCCCAAGAGUUCAUAUCGACGGCGGUGUUUGGCACCUCGAUGUCGGCUCAUCACAUCCUGGGGCUGAAGUCGGUCCCAAGGGUAUGGCUGUUCGCCAUUUAAAGUGGUACGCGAGCUGGGUUUAGAACGUCGUGAGACAGUUCGGUCCCUAUCUGCCGUGGGCGUUGGAAGAUUGAAGGGGGCUGCUCCUAGUACGAGAGGACCGGAGUGGACGAACCUCUGGUGUUCGGGUUGUGUCGCCAGACGCAUUGCCCGGUAGCUAAGUUCGGAAUCGAUAACCGCUGAAAGCAUCUAAGCGGGAAGCGAGCCCUGAGAUGAGUCUUCCCUGAUACUUUAAGUAUCCUAAAGGGUUGUCGGAGACUACGACGUUGAUAGGUCAGGUGUGUAAGUGCUGUGAGGCAUUGAGCUAACUGAUACUAAUUGCCCGUGAGGCUUAACCAUACAACACCCAAGGGGUUU
rnacentral:rRNA from 1 species